rnacentral:lncRNA from 1 species
GCGCUAUGAAGGGGACGGACUUACGGCGCUAUUGAGGGUACGUACGGCGCUAUUGAAGGGACGGACCGUUACGGCGCUAUUGAAGGGGACGGACCGUUACGGCGCUAUUGAAGGGACGGGACCGUUACGCGCUAUUGAAGGGACCACCGUUACGGCGCUAUUGAAGGGACGGACCGUUACCGCGCUAUUGAAGGGACCCACCGUUACGGCGCUAUUGAGGACGCGCCCGUUACGGCGCUAUUGAAGGGACGGACCGUUACGGCGUAUUGAAGGGACGGACCGUUACGGCGCUAUUGAAGGGACGACCGUUACGGCGCUAUUGAAGGGACGGACCGUUACGGCGCUAUUGAAGGGACGGACCGUUACGGCGCUAUUGAGGGACGGGACCGUUACGGCUAUUGAAGGGCCGGACCGUUACGGCCAUUAAGGGACCCACCGUUACGGUACCUAUUGAAGGGACCCACCGUUACGGUACCAUUGAAGGGACCCACCGUUACGGUACCAUUGAAGGUGACCACCGUUCGGUACCAUUGAAGGGACCCACCGUUCGGUACCAUUGUGAGGACCCACCGUUACGGUACCUUGAAGGGACCACCGUUACGGUACAUUGAAGGACCCACGUUACGGUACUAAGGGACCACCGUUACGGUACCAUUGAAGGGACCCACCGUUACGGUACCAUUGAAGGGACCCACCGUUACGGUACCAUUGAAGGGACCCACCGUUACGGUACCAUUGAAGGGACCCACCGUUACGGUACCAUUGAAGGGACCCACCUGUUACGGUACCAUUGAAGGGACCACCUUUACGGUACCAUUGAAGGGACCCACCGUUACG